GACGAACGCUGGCGGCGUGCUUAACACAUGCAAGUCGAACGGAAAGGCCCUACUUUUGUGGGGUGCUUGAGUGGCGAACGGGUGAGUAACACGUGAGUAACCUGCACUUGAAUUUGGGAUAACUUCAGGAAAAUGGGGCUAAUAUCGGAUAGAAGCUUCUGAUGCAUGGUGUGGGAUGGAAAAUUUCGGCGGUGGGGUAUUGUCUAGCGGCUUAUCAGCUUGUUGGUGGGGUAGUGGCUUACAAAGGCUUUGACGGGUAGCCGGCAUGAGAGGGGGACCGGCCACAUUGGGACUGAGAUACGGCCCAGAAUCCUACGGGGGGCAGCAGUGGGGAGUAUUGCACAAUGGGCGGGAGCCUGAUACAGCAACGCCGCGUGCGGGAUGACGUCCUUCGGGCUGUGAACCGCUUUCGCCUUUGACGAAGCGUGAGUGACGGUAAUUGGUAAAGAAGCACCGGCUAACUACGUG
rnacentral:rRNA from 1 species